AAAGGACAGAUGACUGAGGUGAAGUCUGAUGCAGCAAUGCCGCGUGAGUGAUGAAGGCCUUUGGGUUGUAAAGCUCUUUCACUAGGGAAGAAAAUGACUGUACCUACUUGGGGUGGACCGGCCCGGUUCAUGCCAGCCCCCCCGCCACUAUUUUAUGGC
rnacentral:rRNA from 1 species